AGGCCCCGCAGGCGCAGCAGAUCGGAGGAUGAGCGUUGUUGCUGGUGCUUCUCCUGUGACUGCGAUUAUAUCGAGAAACCCGAGCAGAAGUGCGGGUUCUGGGCAGUCUGCGUCUUCGUCUACUCCCUCGUCGACUACUUCAUCCCAAUCAGCCUGGUCUCGGUCCUCCUCUGGCUCGUCCUCCGCCCCAGCAACCUUCGGCCGCGGGUGGACGCCGCCGUCGCCGUCAGCUUCAGCCUCGACAACGCGACCUCGUCGCUCGACUACGACUUCGCCGUGGACCUGCGCUUCCGCAACCUGCACCGGCACCUCGACGUCCGGUACCUGGACCUGGUAGCGCUGGCGUCGUACGGCGGGGAACGGCUCGGCCCCAGCGCCGACGUGCUGCCCGUCUUCGUCCAGCGCCCCAUGGCGUCCAACGCUGUUCGCGCCAGCUUCCAGGGCAGCGCCGCUCCGCUGUCCCCGGCAGCAGCCGAGCUGUUCGCCAUGGAGGCCGCCAACGGCUCCUUCGGCGUCCUCGUGAAGGUCGCCUCGACGUUCAUGUACAAGUUCCCGUUCCAGAAGACGGUCUACUACCUCGACCAUGAGUGCUACAUCCGUUUCCCGGCGCCCAACGGCGGGGUGGUGACGCCGGGGACGCUUUGCAGCGCCACAGCGCGGAAAUAAUUGAGAGUUUCAACCAAACAGCAAAAUCCACAAGGAAUCUAUCACUUAACCACACGGCGAUGAUGGAUUACUCGCCGCCGCCCGUCGUCGAGGACGACGACAGCCCCAAGCUAGGCCCCAACUUCACGAUGCGCCAGUUUAAUCAUCAUCCUUGUACUGUUUGCAUCCAACUCUUGUUUGAGUAUAUGUUCAUGUACUCU
rnacentral:misc_RNA from 1 species